AUAGCUUGUUGGGGAUCCACGGUAGUCGGAGCCAUCAAUUUACUGAUGGUCUCAGCACUUAGACCCAAGGAAGACAGCUCAAAAACGAACCUUUUAAUACAUUUUUUUAAGGCCUUGUACUGAAUGGCAGCCUCGCCCCAACCAGGGGGCAUAUCGUUUUCGAGAGCCCUUUUAAAAUCGUGUCCAAAUUUCAUAUCGGAAGGACUUUUUUUCAAUGAAAAUGAAAGAGGAUGAAACCUUUACAAAAGAUUGAAAUCAAAAUAUUUGAAAGGCGGUAAAACUACAGAAUAAAAAACCAAAGCCCAAGAAGGAG